GCUGGGUGUGGUGGUGCCCACCUGUAAUCCUAGCAACUCAGGAGACUGAGGCAGGAGGAUUACAAGUUGGAGGCCAGCCUCAGCAACUUAGCGAGGGCCUGUCUCAA
rnacentral:sRNA from 1 species